rnacentral:rRNA from 1 species
UACGUAGGGGGCAAGCGUUAUCCGGAUUUAUUGGGCGUAAAGAGCUCGUAGGCGGCCGUUCGCGUCGGAUGUGAAAGUCGGGGGCUCAACCCUCGAAUGCCGGUGGAUACUGUCGGGCUAGAGUGCGGAAGAGGCGAGUGGAAUUCCUGGUGUAGCGGUGAAAUGCGCAGAUAUCGGGAGGAACACCAAUGGCGAAGGCAGCUCGCUGGGACGGUACUGACGCUGAGGCGCGAAAGCGUGGGGAGCAAACAGG